GAUAAGAUGGCUGAGUAUAGGCAAAAGAUUGUAAAUCUUUGUAGGAAGGAAAAGGCCUUCUCUUGUUA
rnacentral:tRNA from 1 species